CAAUUAUGGAGAUAUGGCCAGAGGCAUGAAACAUACGAAGCACUUUCUUCUCUUUUACCCAUAUACUUCCCUUAGGAACGCGUGAGCAGUGUGAGGAGGUUGAGUGAUACGAACUCGUUCAAUGGACUCAUAGCGUGAACGAAGAGAAAAAUACACAAAAGCAGUCCAGUGACGCCAUCAUAGGAAACAGCAAUUGACCACGAAUAUGACCAUCUAUUCCCGCUCGUGUUUUUGACGCUCGUCUUCGUUUUUACCUUAACUGCUGCCUCCUAGAUCUUGAUGCGGCAUUCACAGCAGGUGGCAAUGGCGGUCCCUGUGACUGUAACAUCCUUCACGGCUUCCGAGGAGCGCAA